UCCGCCGGGAGACAGAGCCGCGGUCGCGGGGCCUCCCUGCGGACUCUGACCCUGUGCAGACGCCGCGACCGCCCUGCUCCCUCGGCCCUCUGCCGCCCUCGCCCGGUCCCCCUCCCACAGCUUCUCCAAGCAGCCGACGCUCCUAGCCGGCAGAGCUGAGUUGCGAAGAUCCCCACCUCGCCACACGGUCCCCGUUCGCGGAUGGGUAGACUGAGGCCCGGAACAGAGCGGAGCGUCCAGGAGGCCACCCGGCGACGGUGGCGGAGCCGAGGCCUCCUCCAGGCUUUGACCCCAGCCCUGCCUGAGGCAGUUGCUGUCGUCCAAUCGAAACGUCCUUCCUCUGUGUCCUCCUUACCACCCACCCCCAGAAGCGCCAGAAAAGUAAACUGUGACUGAAGCUGAACCUGGGCAGGGAGGGGGAGGGGGCAAGGAGGCAGGGAGGAGGUCAUCUGUGGGCGCGACCUUCACCCCGGCCCUAGGACCAGAGACCCUGCAGAACCACAGAGCUGGGGGUUCCUGGACACUACGUCCCCCCCAAUCUCAUCCCUCCGCCCCCUCAAAAAAAGAAUUUCUUCUGAGCCAGACCCUAGCCACUUAAAACGGCCCACUGCCUUCUCUGCUCCCGCCGAGGCCUUCACCUCCCCCUGUAAUACCGCACCCGGGAAGUGCGUGCAUGCUGCCCCCCCUGCAAGUCCCGGCCAAGACACCAUCCUCCACCCCUCCUCCCAACCCCAGAUCGAAGCUCACCCACCACCCGGGUCCCUGGCGGCUUUCUGCCUUCACACCUUUGCUCCAGGCCGUCCCUCCCGCCGGGAAGGCCCCCCGCCGGCUCGCCGCUUACCAGAAUCUCAUCGCCUUUAAAGUCUCAGCUUGCACUGCCUCCUCCAGGGAGCCUUCGUGGGAGCUUGACCCUCCCCCCUUCCAGUCCGGCUCCCGCUGCAUUCUGGGUUUUUCUCCGACUGUCCUAGAUGAAUGCUGUCUCUGACUAGCCCAACCCUCGGGAUUCCUUUCUACCUUCCUCCAGGUGGGGGGUGGCGGUGACCUCUCCUGCCUGGACGGCUCUGGGGUGGAGAUGGUGGUGAGGGGCCCCCCUGAGCCACAGGUGCUUAUGUAGAGCGGGCUGGAGGGGUCUGCGUGCCCUUAACCUUUCCAGGCAAGAAAAAUGGGAGGAAAGCAGGUUGGAGGAAGGUACAGCCCUUGUCCUGUGCGAACGGAGUGUGUGCUGGGGGCCUGGGCGGUAGGUGUCCGGACUGCUGGGGCCAAGCUCCCAGUGGCUCCCAGUGUCUUCAAGAUGAAGUCUCAACUCUGUGGGGCCUACAAAGCCCACCUUUGCAGCCCAGCCUCCUCUUCACCCUCCCAUCCCCCAACCCCUCCCCCCCUCCUCCAUUUCUGCUUCUCUGAUCCGUGCACGUGUCUUUUUAUAUAUUGUACAUGGAAGGUUGAUACGGACGUGUGUAGUUUUAAGUUACACAUGAGGCACUCUGUUCUGUCUCAUGAGUUUCUCCCGCCUUUUCUCUGCACCCCCACCCACAGUCCUGAUCAUCACUGCGACCAGUUUUGGGUCUGUGUCCUCCUCAUCCUGAUCCAGACUUCUUAAGAUGCUCAUCUGGAGCCUGCGCUUACCUUGCACUCCGUCCUGUGGUUUACCUGUGGGUCAUCUAGGAGUAGACGGAGGGCCGGGCUGUGUCUGACUCUCCUCGGUGCUCAUCUUCCAACUUGUAAAAUGGAGGCACUGGACCAGAGAACCGCACCAGCUUCAACAUGCCUUGAGUUAACUUCUAGAAGAUGCUCCAGGGUUGAACACUGGAGUUAAUGGGGGUCUCGCAGGCUACCAGCCGGCAUGCUUUGUUCAACACCGUCUUUUACUUGCUGCCCGUUUCUCUGCGCAGUAUUUUAAGAGGCGCAGCCGGAGACGCCGUGAAUGGAGUGCAUUGACUCUGGCUACUCGUGUUCACACACAUCGAGAUCAGGAGGCAGCGCGAGGCCUGACAGCGGGUCUUUGCGGAUCAGCCAGCACGCCAUCUGAUAAAGGCACUGCAAGUAAAGUUGAGAAGAGACAGGCACGGAGUGGAGGCUGCCAACACCAGGAACCGUGGUCUGCGAGAACAGUGCAGCGAUGGACGGCAGGAAGUCUCCUUGAAAGGCGGGGAGAGGGGUGGAGCGCGUACCGACUACGCCGGGCACUGUGCUAGUCACCGAUGGUCAGCGGCACGCAAUCCAGACACUGCUCUCGUGGAAUUUUCUCUUGAGCAGGACAGACUCAAAGGCUUAGGGCACAUGGAGAAGUUACAGGGAAGAGCUCCCUAGUCCAGCACAGCCGCAGCAGAGAGAGUUACGGAGGUGUCACUCAGUUCCCAGAGGACCCAGCCACGCUUGUGCGGCUCCUUCCAAGGCAGGGGCUUUCUUGAUUUCUUUGUAACACACAAGUCUGAAAACACUUAAAGCGUGACAUGUACAAUUAUUAAAAAGGCACUAAAACGGGAAGGAUUACGUUUUCCUGAAGUCUUGGAUUGUGCAGAGUGGCAUGAGGGCAAGUAACUGAGGGGAUUUCGGCACAAACAGCACAUAUUCCGAGGUCCCUGCUCCGAAAGGCGGUGGCUGGACGGACAAGACUGCCGUCCAGGUGACUGGGAAACUGCGGGUCUGUUCUUUCUGUAAAAUUAGAUCUUUCUGCCAUGAGAGAUUCUUUAUGUACUUCGUUAAAAAUACCCGACAUGGAAGAAAAUAAAAAGCUGGCCUCAUUGUC